GAUUGCCCUAGUAACGGCGAGUGAAGCGGCAACAGCUCAAAUUUGAAAUCUGGCCCCCAGGCCCGAGUUGUAAUUUGUAGAGGAUGCUUUUGGUGACGCGCUUACCGAGUCCCCUGGAAUGGGGCGCCACAGAGGGUGAGAGCCCCGUAUGGUUUGCCGCCGAGCCUCUGUAAAGCUCCUUCGACGAGUCGAGUAGUUUGGGAAUGCUGCUCUAAAUGGGAGGUAAAUUUCUUCUAAAGCUAAAUACCGGCCAGAGACCGAUAGCGUACAAGUAGAGUGAUCGAAAGAUGAAAAGCACUUUGAAAAGAGGGUUAAAUAGCACGUGAAAUUGUUGAAAGGGAAGCGCUUGUGACCAGACUCGCGCCGGGCGGAUCAUCCAGCGUUCUCGCUGGUGCACUCCGCCCGGUUCGGGCCAGCAUCGGUUUUCGCCGGGGGACAAAAGCCUCGGGAACGUGGCCCCCUUCGGGGGGUGUUAUAGCCAGUGGCAGAAUACCCCGGCGGGGACCGAGGACCGCGCUUCGGCAAGGAUGCUGGCGUAAUGGUCAUCAGCGACCCGUCUUGAAACACGGACCGAGGAGUCAAGCAUUAGUGCGAGUGUUUGGGUGUAAAACCCGCACGCGUAAUGAAAGUGAACGUAGGUGAGAGCUUCGGCGCAUCAUCGACCGAUCCUGAAGUUUACGGAUGGAUUUGAGUAGGAGCAUUAACGCUUGGACCCGAAAGAUGGUGAACUAUACUUGAAUAGGGUGAAGCCAGAGGAAACUCUGGUGGAGGCUCGCAGCGGUUCUGACGUGCAAAUCGAUCGUCAAAUUUGAGUAUAGGGGCGAAAGACUAAUCGAACCAUCUAGUAGCUGGUUACCGCC
rnacentral:rRNA from 1 species